GAGACAUUAGUAAAAAAUUACAUAACUUUGUCAAAGUUAAAUUAUAGGUUAGAGCCCUUUAUGUCUUC
rnacentral:tRNA from 1 species